GAUGAACGCUGGCGGCGUGCCUAACACAUGCAAGUCGAGCGGACAGAUGAGGCUUUUGCUGGGCUGACGUGAGGGGCGGGCGGGUGAGAAACACGAGUAUAACCUACCUAAAAGACUGAGAUAACCACGGGAAAGCGGAUCUAACACGGGAGGAUAUAUUGAAGCGCGGGGGUCGUUGGUGAAAGACGGUUGUGCUGUCACUAAUAGAGGGAUCCGGGCCGUAUUAGCUAGUUGGUAGGGUAACGGCCUACCAAGGCGACGAUGCGUAGGCGAACUGAGAGGGUGAUCGGCCACACGGGAAGUGAGACACGGACCAGACUACUACGGGAGGCAGCAGUAGGGAAUCUUAGGCAAUGGGCGAAAGCCUGACGCAGCAAGGCCGCGUGUGUGAUGACGGUCUUCGGAUCGUAAAACUGUGUUAUUAGGGAAGAACCAAUGUGUAAUGAACUAUGGAGGUAUUGACGGUACCUAAUCAAAAAGCACCGGCUAACUACGUG
rnacentral:rRNA from 1 species